rnacentral:rRNA from 1 species
UACGGAGGGUGCAAGCGUUGUUCGGAAUCAUUGGGCGUAAAGGGCGCGUAGGCGGGACGUUAAGUCCGAUGUGAAAUCCCUCGGCUCAACUGAGGACGUGCAUCGGAUACUGGCGACCUUGAGUCCUGGAGAGGGUAGCGGAAUUCCCAGUGUAGAGGUGAAAUUCGUAGAUAUUGGGAGGAACGCCGGUGGCGAAGGCGGCUACCUGGACAGUGACUGACGCUGAGGCGCGAAAGCAUGGGUAGCAAACAGG